UACGGGGGGGGGCAAGCGUUGUUCGGAAUUACUGGGCGUAAAGGGCCAGUAGGCGGCCAACUAAGUCGGAUGUGAAAUCCCCAGGCUUAACCUGGGAACUGCAUCCGAUACUGGAUGGCUUGAAUUCGGGAGAGGGAUGCAGAAUUCCAGGUGUAGCGGUGAAAUGCGUAGAUAUCUGGAGGAAUACCGGUGGCGAAGGCGGCAUCCUGGACCGACAUUGACGCUGAACGGCGAAAGCUAGGGGAGCGAAACAGGG
rnacentral:rRNA from 1 species